GACGAACGCUGGCGGCGUGCUUAACACAUGCAAGUCGAACGGAAAGGCCCUGCUUUUGUGGGGUGCUCGAGUGGCGUACGGGUGAGUAACACGUGAGUAACCUGCCCUCGACUUUGGGAUAACUUCAGGAAACUGGGGCUAAUACCGGAUAGGAGCUCCUGCUGCAUGGUGGGGGUUGGAAAGUUUCGGCGGUUGGGGAUGGACUCGCGGCUUAUCAGCUUGUUGGUGGGGUAGUGGCUUACCAAGGCUUUGACGGGUAGCCGGCCUGAGAGGGUGACCGGCCACAUUGGGACUGAGAUACGGCCCAGACUCCUACGGGAGGCAGCAGUGGGGAAUAUUGCACAAUGGGCGGGAGCCUGAUGCAGCAACGCCGCGUGCGGGAUGACGGCCUUCGGGUUGUAAACCGCUUUCGCCUGUGGCGAAGCGUGAGUGACGGUAAUGGGUAAAGAAGCACCGGCUAACUACGUG
rnacentral:rRNA from 1 species